rnacentral:rRNA from 1 species
AUACGGAGGAUGCGAGCGUUAUCCGGAUUUAUUGGGUUUAAAGGGAGCGUAGGUGGGAUAUUAAGUCAGCUGUGAAAGUUUGGGGCUCAACCUUAAAAUUGCAGUUGAUACUGGUUUCCUUGAGUACGGUACAGGUGGGCGGAAUUCGUGGUGUAGCGGUGAAAUGUUUAGAUAUCACGAAGAACUCCGAUCGCGAAGGCAGCUCACCGGGCCGGAACUGACACUGAUGCUCGAAAGUGCGGGUAUCAAACAGGAUUAGAUACCCUGGUAGUCCACACAGUAAACGAUGAAUACUUGUUUUCGGCGAUAUAAUGUCGGAGGCAAAGCGAAAGCGAUAAGUAUUCCACCUGGGGAGUACGCCGGCAACGGUGAAACUCAAAUGAAUUGGCGGGG